GGGCGGUUAGCUCAGCUGGGAGAGCAUCUCGUUUACACCGAGAGGGUC
rnacentral:tRNA from 1 species